rnacentral:tRNA from 1 species
GUUUUAGUGGCAGAGCCCGGUAAUUGCAAAAGACCUAAGCCCUUUUAUCCAAGAGUUCAAAUCUCCUCUAAAACA